rnacentral:sRNA from 1 species
UAUUGCUUAAAUGUGUGGACGAGCUCAC